AGCCCGCCGCUCUGCUUCGGUUCUGGUGGGGAUCAGCCACCAGACGCAAGGGGGAAAGUUCGGUGCGAAUCCGACGCUGUCCCGCAACUGUGAUGAGCGCAACCGCGCAGGAUGCUUGACCCUCUGCUUGCCAGGUUCCUUUGGCAGAGCGGAUUUGUCAGUUCUUUAGCCUGAGUGCGUUAUCUCUGAGUCAGGAUGCCCGCCGAUAGCACCACCUGAUG
rnacentral:ncRNA from 2 species